UUGAAGAAUGAGAGAAUGAUUAGAUCAAUUAGGUGUUAUUUAGAGUGGUGGAAAAAUAGAUUCCUUAGCUAGAUUAUGUGAUAACCAGGAAUUAGAUCAUAGUUCGUCUUCACGAGCUCACUUGAAUGUUUGGAAGGUUCAAAUUCCAGUAGAGUUUGAGAUAAUUUUUUUCCCUGUUUGCUUAAGGUUGGUGAGUAUAGUUACCAAAUACUUGUGUUGGUUCAUUGUCUAGGUUAAUGUAAGGUGGCUUGGACAGUGACAAUUAGAUAACACUCUGAAAUAUUCCAUCAUAUCUUCUAACACCGCAGACAUUCAAAUUUCUCGUAAGAAUAAUAUUAUGUGAGUUAUUGCUUCUGUUCUGAGCUACAGCCAUAUUCCGUCCU